rnacentral:rRNA from 1 species
ACGAACGCUGGCGGCGUGCCUAACACAUGCAAGUCGAACGGAGAUAUGAUUUCGGUUGUAUCUUAGUGGCGAACGGGUGAGUAACGCGUGAGCAACCUGACUCUUAGAGGGGGAUAACACUCGGAAACGGGUGCUAAUACCGCAUAAGACCACGACAUGGCAUCAUGACGAGGUCAAAGGAGCAAUCCGCUGAGAGAGGGGCUCGCGUCCCAUUAGAUAGAUGGCGGGGUAACGGCCCACCAUGUCAGCGAUGGGUAGCCGAGCUGAGAGGCUGAUCGGCCACACUGGAACUGAGACACGGUCCAGACUCCUACGGGAGGCAGCAGUGGGGAAUAUUGGGCAAUGGGCGCAAGCCUGACCCAGCAACGCCGCGUGAGGGAAGAAGGCUUUCGGGUUGUAAAGUGCUUUUUGAAAGGAUGAGGAAGGACAGUACUUUCAGAAUAAGCUUCGGCUAACUACGU